GCCACAGCCACAACACCACCAGAUUCAAGCCACAUCUGUGACCUACACCACAGCUCACGGCUUCGCCAGAUCCUUAACCCCCUGAGCCAGGCCAGGAAUCCAACUCACAUCCUCAUGAAUACUGGUCAGGUUAUCAUUUCAAACCAAACAUCAAACAUCAGCAACAACGUUCGCAUACCAUCUGCAGUUCAAUGAUGGCCCAGAAUCAACAUUUGAGUAAGACAACAGAGGCACAACCUUCAGAGAAAAAGAAAACUAGAUGGUGUGAUGGAUUCAAGAUAAAAACAACAGCAACAACAACAACAAAAACUUAGAGGGCAAAUGACUUCCUUUAAGCCCUUAAACUGGUAAAUGAUGGAGCCAAACUCUAAAUUCAAGCAGUCUUAAUCCCAAUCCCAUGAUCUGAAUUGUAUUCCAUAUUGCUAAAGUAACUGUGGGUUUCCAUGUUAGUAUCCUCAAGAUAUUCUGGUAAGCAUGGAUUUAUAAGUGAGCUAUUUAGUAAUCUUCCUUAUUCUAUACUUCUAAAACUUCAUACCACCUAAUUCAGUUUCAAGCAAACAUAUGUGCCUGCGCACACACGAGUACGCACGUUGCCAAUGUGUGUACACAGACUCAGCAGGUGGAAAUGAGUAAAAGUGCAAAUAGAUAAGAAUGUUGAGUAACAACAACAUACUUUGAGUCUUUCUUACCUCUUUCCUAAUUUUUGAAAGUGAAUUAAGUAGGUUAUUUAAGCCCUGACAGUACAUCAUUCAUCUUUACGCUUGUCAUUUCUGGGCUUCAGAUUUCUUAAACAGCGUAUUAUGAUGGAAAUUCUUUAAAAACACAAAAGUAAUGCAUUGUCAUCAAAAAAACUAAAUAGUAGGGCAAAAGUAAAAUUUCUCCAUUCUACCUUCAUCCCAUUCUCCUUCCAGAAAUGUUUAGGAUACUCAUCCCAUUUGUAACCCCAACACUGCCCCACAAUUUUCCUCUGACUCACCUUUUUCCAGCCAUUCUAGCCUUUUUGCUGUUUCUCAAGAAUGCCAAGUGCACUUCUGACAUGAAAAAACUUGUACUUGAUCUUUCCUCAUCUGAAAUGUUCUACUCCCAGAUAUCUUGCUCUUUCAUUUCAUUGAAAGCUUUGUCUAAACAUUACCUUAUCCUUGACCACCCCAUAUAAAAUAAUAUUUCCUAUCCAUAAUUCUUGAACCAAAUUGACUUUUUUCAUAGUAUUUAUCACCAUCUGACACUGACACACCCAUGCAUCCAUAUAUGUAGGUAUAUGUGUAUAGUAGGCCCUUAAUGGAUUAAAACAACAUAAAUUUAUUAAAGUUCUGUAAUUAUCAUAGAGUUCUGUUGUUGAGAACUCUGAAAUGGGGUUCAACUGGCUAAAAUCACGGUUUUGGCAGGAGUCUCCUUUCUGGAGACUCUAGGGGACAGUUCAUUCCCCUGUCUUUUCCAAACUGCUCAAAGUUCUUGGCUAAUUUACUCUUUUCCAUAUUGAAAGCUGGCAAUGGCCAGUCCAAUAUUUCUCACACUGCCUCACAUUAACACUUACUCGUCUGCCUCCCUCUUCCAUACUUAAAGGACCCUUGGGAUUACAUUGAGUUAACUAGGAUAAUUCUGGAUAACCUCUUUAAGGUCACCUGAUUAGCAACCUUAAUUCCAUUUGCAACCUUAAUACUCCCUUGCCAUGUGACCUAAUACAUUCAUAGGUAGGCAGAGUAAUGGUGCUUAAAGACAUCUAAGCCCUAAUCUCCAAAACCUGUAAAAAUACAUUUUUUUUCCUAGAGGAUGUCAUUUGCCCUCUCUGUAUCUAAGUUUUUUCAUCUGUGAAAGGCAAAUAAUAGCAUCUGGAUGACAGAAUUAUGGUAAGGAAUAAACCCACUACUAGAAGUAAAAUACUAGAACAAUGCCUGGCAUAUAGUAAAAACUCAAUAAAUGCUAGCUACUAU
ensembl:lncRNA